CAAAAAUUAAGGGAAUAAAAAAAAAUGCAAAUUUUUUUUUAAUUUUUGACGGGCUGUAUUUCAGCGGAAAAUGAUCAAAUGAUUUUUUUUUUUGUUUUGCACUCAAUUUGCCUCGGCUCAUCAGUAAAUUUGAAUAA